UACGUAGGGUGCAAGCGUUAAUCGGAAUUACUGGGCGUAAAGCGUGCGCAGGCGGUUGUGCAAGACCGAUGUGAAAUCCCCGGGCUUAACCUGGGAACUGCAUUGGUGACUGCAUUGCUGGAGGUAUGGCAGAGGGGGGUGGAAUUCCACGUGUAGCAGUGAAAUGCGUAGAGAUGUGGAGGAACACCGAUGGCGAAGGCAGCCCCCUGGGCCAAUACUGACGCUCAUGCACGAAAGCGUGGGGAGCAAACAGG
rnacentral:rRNA from 1 species